UCAGGUAGAUAGGUCAGAAGUGGAAGGCCAGUGAUGGUUGGAGCGGACUGAUACUAAUCGAUCGAGGACUUAACCAC
rnacentral:rRNA from 1 species